UAGGGUGGCGUGCCGGUGCGCGUUGAAGGCCAANACGUGAGUCAGGCUGGAGCCGCCGGUAGUGCAGAUCUUGGUGGUAGUAGCAAGUACUCUGGUGAACCAACCUGGAGCUGUGAGGUCUGGAUUAGGGUUCCAUGUCAACAGUGAUUGAACAUGGGUGAGUCGAUCCUAAGCCAACUGUGAAAGCAGUGACAUCCCAACAAAGGAGCAUUUCGUGCGCCCGACUUACACCCCCAAUGCAAAGCUCUCGUGUAUCUCUCUCUCGCACAUGCGCGCACACACACACACUGANNACUNNNAANAAAAANNGAGUGNGUGUGUGNNUGUAUGGNUACGCUCNCUAGCGAGCANNAUGUANNNUCUGUCUNUYNAANAGAGAGAGAGAGAGAGAAAGAGAGUGGGUGAGCGUGAGUUAUUGCUAUUGCAAUUGCAUGGCUUCCUGCGUUGGUUCUAUGUCCGGCGAAAGGGAAUGGGGACUUUGUUCCUUGACCGGUCCCGGCACCCUCGAUUGGCUCUGCCAAUUAAUGGUCCAUGCAAAUGGAACCAGGCCACAGCCGCUGGCAGUCGCCCGAGGAAGAGUUUUCUUUUCUGCUUAACGCACGAGGUCAUCCCUGGAAACAGUUCGGCUGGCGAAAGGGUGCCCCGUUGCGGCAGAGCGCCACGACUGUCGUGCGCGUCUCGGUGUUCCUGCCGGUCCGUGAAGACGUGGUCGAGGGGAUUGCUAUCUUGUAUCAACGAAACGCCUGACAAGUUCGGGACGGACCGUACCCUAUAUCCGCAUCUGGUCUCCAAGGUUCGUAGCCUCUGCAGAGUCAGACACAUGUAGGUAAGGGAAGUCGGCAAACUCGAUCCGUAACUUCGGGAAAAGGAUUGGCUCUGAGGGCCGAGCUGGGCCGGGCCUUGCCUGCAAAGCAGUACCUAUAGUGACCGGAGUUUCAGGAGUGCGAGGGGCUCUCGUAGCUGCUUGUGCGUGUGUGCGUUUGCGCGUGCGCGCGUGUGGGCACGAACGAGUCCACCGCUCCGCUCCAACCACGAACGGCUGUGACGGCAAGGGCUCUGGGCGGGAGCGAUCGAUCCGUUGGCCCCCAGCUCGUCUGGGUGGCGGCGGUGCUCCGUCUGACCCAUACGGCUCCAGCGGCUAGCGGCUAACUCAGAACUGUCAUGGACCAAGGGAAUCC
rnacentral:rRNA from 1 species